UGUUGCAAACCUGCACAAAGGAGGAGAGGGUGCAGGGCAUCGAGGAGGGAGACUGCAUUACGGAGAGGGAGAGGAGAAGACAGGAGGUGGUGGAAGAAUGUAAGAGAAAUAACCGAGGAGAAAUAAUCUGAGCUGAUAUUAGCCCUACAGGCGGGGUUUUUUUUUUCCUUUCUUUUGCAUGAACGCUGGUGCGCCGUGCUCUUCUUUAACGGGACAUCGGUGGCGCAGUGUUUACUGCGGCACCAUCCAGAAGAGCUUCAUCAUUACAGUAUUACCACAGUCCUGCCUGGCUCUCUGUCACCAUGACAACGACUGCGUUAGCCUCUGCUUUGCUUUCAGGCACCAAGGACAAGACUGAGCCAAAUAGUGCUCCUACAGCUGGCACAAAGGGUUGAAUGCAGAGAAGCAGGAAUCAAAUAGUGAUCAUUCGAUGCCGCUGCUGAUUGUUCGAUAGAAUACCGCAAUUUGUCAAGUUAACGACUCUGGUGUCGGGGUCUAAGCCGCAUCAGUAUGACGGGCAGAGGCCGGGACGACAUGGUGUGGAGCAACAACUGGUGCAGAGUCAGCAACCACAAGCAGACACUGAAGGAUGGUCAGCAAUCAGAACAUGAAUAAAGUUUAUUAUUGAA